rnacentral:rRNA from 1 species
GAUGAACGCUGGCGGCGUGCCUAAUACAUGCAAGUCGAGCGAACAGACGAGGAGCUUGCUCCUCUGACGUUAGCGGCGGACGGGUGAGUAACACGUGGAUAACCUACCUAUAAGACUGGGAUAACUUCGGGAAACCGGAGCUAAUACCGGAUAACAUGUUGAACCGCAUGGUUCAACAGUGAAAGACGGUCUUGCUGUCACUUAUAGAUGGAUCCGCGCCGCAUUAGCUAGUUGGUAAGGUAACGGCUUACCAAGGCAACGAUGCGUAACCGACCUGAGAGGGUGAUCGGCCACACUGGAACUGAGACACGGUCCAGACUCCUACGGGAGGCAGCAGUAGGGAAUCUUCCGCAAUGGGCGAAAGCCUGACGGAGCAACGCCGCGUGAGUGAAGAAGGUCUUCGGAUCGUAAAACUCUGUUAUUAGGGAAGAACAAAUGUGUAAGUAACUAUGCACGUCUUGACGGUACCUAAUCAGAAAGCCACGGCUAACUACGUG